rnacentral:rRNA from 1 species
UACGAAGGGGGCUAGCGUUGCUCGGAAUCACUGGGCGUAAAGCGCACGUAGGCGGCUUCUUAAGUCAGGGGGUGAAAUCCUGGAGCUCAACUCCAGAACUGCCUUUGAUACUGAGGAGCUUGAGUCCGGGAGAGGUGAGUGGAACUGCGAGUGUAGAGGUGAAAUUCGUAGAUAUUCGCAAGAACACCAGUGGCGAAGGCGGCUCACUGGCCCGAUACUGACGCUGAGGCACGAAAGCGUGGGAGCAAACAGG